GCCGGGGUGGUGGAAUUGGUAGACACGUUGGAUUCAAAAUCCAAUGGCUUUGCGGCCGUGCCGGUUCGAUUCCGGCCCUCGGUACCA
rnacentral:tRNA from 1 species